GUCAAAAGGUGUUUCACAUUUAACUCCUCCAGCUUCUCUGAACCUGCGAUGCGCAUGUUGAGUGAGUUUACCUGUCCAUUAUCACCUUAACCAUUGUAAAAUAAAACACUAACAGCUAUUGUUAUUUUGGACAUUUUGAAUAGAUUAUGUUAUUGAUGAAACCUCUAUCUGUGUGUCAAGUAUGCUCCUAUAGUUGGAAUGUUGUGUGUCUGUUUCACCAGACAUGCACAGUGUGAGUGUGGUCUUCCUCCCUCUUAGCCUGGUCCUUCUACUGUUUGGAGGAAUAUGUGGCUUGAUCAGUUCCCUGCCCUGGGGCCCCGCCCUCCUCACUAGCACCGUCUCCUAUCUCUUCUUCUGCAGUGUCCUGACCCUCUCCGGUGUCAGCCUGUACAUCAGCAACUCCGAGCAGGCACUGGCAGAGACCGAGAGUCUGGUGGGGGCUGAGCGUCUGGCCCAGGUGGUCAGCACCUCAUUCGAGCUGGUCCCUGGGCCUGGCUGUCCUUCUGCCUGGAGGUCCUCACUGGCCUGCUGCUGGCUGCCCACCCCGCCCUCCAGAGCGGCUCACCGGGCCACGGCAUACCCUCUGUCCUAACCCAAGAGCCAGGCCCUACAGAAGUGUCACAAGGACUGUACCUUCAAUUUUCAAAUUAUUUUUAUGUGCUCGUCUCUGGCACCACAAAUGAAUUUCCCUCUGGAGAAAUAAA
rnacentral:lncRNA from 1 species